GACAGAGGUGCCGAGCGUUAGGCGGAAUCACUGGGCUUAAAGCGUGUGUAGGCGGGCGGGCAAGUACCUUGUGAAAUCCCACGGCUCAACCGUGGAACGGCUGGGUAUACUGCCUGUCUUGAGCCAACUAGGGGCGAGCGGAACAGACGGUGGAGCGGUGAAAUGCGUAGCUAUCGUCUGGAACGCCGAAGGUGAAAACAGCUCGCUGGGGUUGUGCUGACGCUGAGACACGAAAGCCAGGGGAGCGAACGGG
rnacentral:rRNA from 1 species